AAAAGUCGUAACAAGAUUUCCGUGGGUGAACCUGCGGAAGGAUCAUUAAUAAGUAUCCAAACUGUGUGUACUUGGACGCUUAGCGCCCUAGAGCAAUCCCUUGUCUGAAAGCGGCAAGGGAUCAAUGUUCAGGUCGCAGUCAACGAUCACGACCGGCGAUCGGGUAGCCCCUACGUCCUUCUGUACCCUCCGGGACUUACUCGGUCAUAAAGCGAACACCUGUUAGUUCUC
rnacentral:misc_RNA from 1 species